AAAUUGAAGAGUUUGAUCAUGGCUCAGAUUGAACGCUGGCGGCAGGCCUAACACAUGCAAGUCGAGCGGAAACGAGUUAUCAGAACCUUCGGGGGACGAUAACGGCGUCGAGCGGCGGACGGGUGAGUAAUGCCUAGGAAAUUGCCCUGAUGUGGGGGAUAACCAUUGGAAACGAUGGCUAAUACCGCAUGAUGCCUACGGGCCAAAGAGGGGGACCUUCGGGCCUCUCGCGUCAGGAUAUGCCUAGGUGGGAUUAGCUAGUUGGUGAGGUAAGGGCUCACCAAGGCGACGAUCCCUAGCUGGUCUGAGAGGAUGAUCAGCCACACUGGAACUGAGACACGGUCCAGACUCCUACGGGAGGCAGCAGUGGGGAAUAUUGCACAAUGGGCGCAAGCCUGAUGCAGCCAUGCCGCGUGUGUGAAGAAGGCCUUCGGGUUGUAAAGCACUUUCAGUCGUGAGGAAGGUAGUGUAGUUAAUAGCUGCAUUAUUUGACGUUAGCGACAGAAGAAGCACCGGCUAACUCCGUGCCAGCAGCCGCGGUAAUACGGAGGGUGCGAGCGUUAAUCGGAAUUACUGGGCGUAAAGCGCAUGCAGGUGGUUUGUUAAGUCAGAUGUGAAAGCCCGGGGCUCAACCUCGGAAUUGCAUUUGAAACUGGCAGACUAGAGUACUGUAGAGGGGGUAGAAUUUCAGGUGUAGCGGUGAAAUGCGUAGAGAUCUGAAGGAAUACCGGUGGCGAAGGCGGCCCCCUGGACAGAUACUGACACUCAGAUGCGAAAGCGUGGGGAGCAAACAGGAUUAGAUACCCUGGUAGUCCACGCCGUAAACGAUGUCUACUUGGAGGUUGUGGCCUUGAGCCGUGGCUUUCGGAGCUAACGCGUUAAGUAGACCGCCUGGGGAGUACGGUCGCAAGAUUAAAACUCAAAUGAAUUGACGGGGGCCCGCACAAGCGGUGGAGCAUGUGGUUUAAUUCGAUGCAACGCGAAGAACCUUACCUACUCUUGACAUCCAGAGAACUUUCCAGAGAUGGAUUGGUGCCUUCGGGAACUCUGAGACAGGUGCUGCAUGGCUGUCGUCAGCUCGUGUUGUGAAAUGUUGGGUUAAGUCCCGCAACGAGCGCAACCCUUAUCCUUGUUUGCCAGCGAGUAAUGUCGGGAACUCCAGGGAGACUGCCGGUGAUAAACCGGAGGAAGGUGGGGACGACGUCAAGUCAUCAUGGCCCUUACGAGUAGGGCUACACACGUGCUACAAUGGCGCAUACAGAGGGCGGCCAACUUGCGAAAGUGAGCGAAUCCCAAAAAGUGCGUCGUAGUCCGGAUUGGAGUCUGCAACUCGACUCCAUGAAGUCGGAAUCGCUAGUAAUCGUGGAUCAGAAUGCCACGGUGAAUACGUUCCCGGGCCUUGUACACACCGCCCGUCACACCAUGGGAGUGGGCUGCAAAAGAAGUAGGUAGUUUAACCUUCGGGGGGACGCUUACCACUUUGUGGUUCAUGACUGGGGUGAAGUCGUAACAAGGUAGCGCUAGGGGAACCUGGCGCUGGAUCACCUCCUUA
rnacentral:rRNA from 1 species